rnacentral:rRNA from 1 species
ACAUGCAAGUCGAACGAGAAUCUACUGAAAGAGUUUUCGGACAAUGGAUGUAGAGGAAAGUGGCGGACGGGUGAGUAACGCGUGAGGAACCUGCCUUGAAGAGGGGGACAACAGUUGGAAACGACUGCUAAUACCGCAUGAUGAAGGGGUCAAAGAUUUAUCGCUUUGAGAGGGGUUCGCGUCCCAUUAGGUAGUUGGAGGGGUAACGGCCCACCAAGGCGACGAUCAGUAGCCGGCCUGAGAGGGUGAACGGCCACAUUGGGACUGAGACACGGCCCAAACUCC